UCUCCAGAAUUGGUUUAAAUGUUCCGGGUCAAUGUGACCUUGACCUUUGUCUUACUGAUCUCAAAAUAUAUAGGGGUCAUCUGCUGGUCAUGACCAACCUCCAUAUCAACUUUCAUGUUCCUAGGCCAAAGCGUUCUUGAGUUAUCAUCCAGAAACUGAUUGGUCUGCGGACUGACAGAUCGACCGACUGACAUCAGCAAAACAAUAUACCCCAUCUUCUUCGAAGGUGGGCAUAUAAAUUAAUUUCAGCAGGAAAGUAUUGUUCAUGUGACAUUCUAUAAAACAAUGCUUGAAAUAUGAACCCAUACAUUCUUUGCUGGUUUAAUUCUGUUACACUAUAUAUGGAGAUUAGAUUGCAGUUGCUUUUAAAUUACCUGUCCAGCCAGUAUUUACAUCAAAUAAGUGAUUAUAAAGGUCUUAGAUGUCUUUCAUGUUUAGUUAUGUUAUAAUGUAGUUGUGUAUUAUCUUUUUAAAUAAUCUUAAUCUUUUAUGAAAGGAGCUUGAAAGUGGUACAGUCAUGAGUGCAGUCCAGCUUGUUAGUUGUGAUGAAAAGAACUUGAAAAAUGCUUAUGAGUUCAACAUAGGCAAAAGAACAGGAUAAAAAAAAAUGUUAGCAUAGUAAGUUUAAAGAGGAAAGAAGUAGGAUUUAAAGGUACUGGAUGGUUGAAACAGCUGCGUUAAUUAAAGGAUGGUAACUAAAUGGCAAGACAAAUAAUUCCAGAGAACAAAGAGCUGACCUGCAUUGAACCACAAUAUAUGCACUGACACUAUAUAAUAUGAAGUUAGUAGUACAUGACUGAUUUUGAAUAUAUAUCAAGAUGAUCAAAAUUUUUUUCUGUAUUUACAAAUAAUGAUUCUACGCCGUAUGUUUGUUUUCCAAGCUGGAGAGUAUACCUGUAUCCAUCAUGUGACAUCAGUACCAAUUUGAGAUUCAUGCAGGACUUUUGUCAUUUAUUAAAAAAUGUGUUACAUGCUUCAGUUCAAAAGCUCAUUCAGAAUUUCAGAGCUUAUGUUGUACUGUUAUAUGUCUUGAUGACAAUAAAACCAAUCUUACUGUA